rnacentral:rRNA from 1 species
CCCUUAGAUGUUCUGGGCCGCACGCGCGCUACACUGACGAUGGCAACGAGUUUUUCCUUCGCCGAAAGGUGUGGGUAAUCUUUUGAAACAUCGUCGUGCUAGGGAUAGAUCAUUGCAAUUUUUGAUCUUGAACGAGGAAUUCCUAGUAAGCGCGAGUCAUCAGCUCGCGUUGAUUACGUCCCUGCCCUUUGUACACACCGCCCGUCGCUACUACCGAUUGAAUGGUUUAGUGAGGACUCCUGAUUGGCGCCGCCGCCCCGGCAACGGAGCAGCGGACUGCCGAAAAGUUGUUCAAACUUGAUCAUUUAGAGGAAGUAAAAGUCGUAACA